UGAAUGAAAGUGAAAGUAAUGAACAGAGUUGAUGUGGCCAUUUUAAACAGACAGAAUCGAUGAUCUACAACACAUUAUAUAUUUAAAUCUUUAAUAGAAUCGCUAAUAAAUGCUAAAGCAGGAGUUUGUGUGGAGUUACCGGAUGGGAAUGUGAAUCGAGUCAGUGGAGAUCAAACUGUUCAGAUCCAUCAUGGAUGAAACACAAACUUCUGGAGAUGAAGAUUUGUUUCCAGCACACAGUCUCAUUCAAACACUGGAGCGGAGGGAGUUGCCAUGGAAACGGAGCGCCAACACAACAACUGACAAGCCGGGAAUCACUGACUUUUGCUGCUGUUUUCACAGCUUUCGGUAAGUUUAGUCCCUAAAAUCACACAGAUAUUACAUUCAAGUGUUCCUGACAUUUCUCUUGCUUAUUUCGGACUCGCUUCUGUUGAGUUUACUUCAUAUAAAUGGUUAAUGUCUUCGAACCAGUCCGUUAGCAUCUUACCAGUUUUCAGAGGAGGUAACAUUAGGCUUACUCCAUAGAUGGAGCUCGUUAUUAAAGUUUGGGAUUCUUAUUACAUCUUUAUGUGUAGAUGAGAGCAUUUGAGAGGUCUGUGAAAGGUUUGCGGGAAUUUUUUAUUUAUUUAUUUAUUUAUUUAUUUUUAUGGGUGAUUGGAAAUUGGCUCAUUUAUUUAACCUCAAGUUAAACAUAUAAACUGUAACCGUUAAUCGGUGACGUCACUGACAUCAGUGUGACAAUAAACUGAAUCAUG